GGUUUUGUUGUUGCUUGAUUUGGUAAUGCCUGUCUGGCUAGAUACAUUUCGCUUUGGACGGAAAGAUCUGGCGCUGAAACGUUUUCCUUUUGUUUAAGGACUUGCAGAAGUGAUAAAUGGUGGUUUCUGCGGACUGCUUAAGUUUCUAGAGCGCAGGAACUUUAGUUUUAUUGCUCGGGGUGCUGUAGUUCGAUUGAGUUUGAUCAAGAAACGGAAGGUUUUAGUAAUGGCAGCUGUGCAUGCUCUGCUAGGGGACUGAGGAAGCGGUACAAGUGAAAAUUUUUGUUUAGAUAUGGGCUGUUAGGAAGGAUAAGUGCUUUGGGAAGGUGGAAGGAUUUGCUCAUGAGGUACAUUUAGAAAUUUGGCUUCAGGAAAUGAACUAGGGUUUAUGAUUCUUCAUUUACUGUAAUUUUAAGGAGGAAAUUGAAAAAAGUUUCAGAGGGUGCCUGGAUUAAGAAGCGGACAAAAGCAACCAAGGUUGGAAGAAAGGAGUUCUUUGGAGGAAGCUAAUCUAACGAAGAGUGGAAGCUGAUGCUGAUCAGAUAUGCCUAGCAUUAAAGCUCCUGCGUCGAAACAAACCACAACCCUAUUGGUUGCUGUAAAAUGUAGGCCGUUAAGUGAAAAAGAAAGGCAAAGAAACCGUGACAUUCUUCGGGUGACCGAUGAUGGGGAGGUCAUCGUGCUGGAUCCUGACUUGUCAAAGAAUUACUUGGAUCGCGUACAGAACCGUACGAAAGAGAAGAGAUAUUGUUUUGAUUAUGCGUUUGGGCCUCAAUGUACAAACAUGGAUGUCUACAAGACAAGCAUCUCUUCUACAAUUUCUGGGGUCAUUCAAGGUCUUAAUGCAACUGUUUUUGCUUAUGGUUCAACUGGAAGUGGUAAGACAUAUACAAUGGUUGGGACCCAAGAUGACCCUGGACUUAUGGUUCUCAGCUUGCACACUAUUUUUGAUCUUAUCAAGAAGGACCGCAGCUCCAAAGACUUUGAAGUUUCUUGUUCCUACCUUGAAGUUUACAAUGAAGUUAUCUAUGAUUUGCUUCAAAAAUCAUCCGGGCAUUUGGAGCUUAGAGAGGAUCCUGAGCAAGGAAUAAUUGUUGCUGGGCUUAGAUGCAUUAAGGUCCGGUCGGCUGAUAAGAUUCUUGAACUCUUAAAUUUGGGAAAUAGUAGACGAAAAACAGAAAGUACAGAGGCAAAUGCAACAUCUUCUCGCUCACAUGCUGUUUUGGAGAUUACUGUCAAAAGAAAACAGAGAAACCAGUAUCGGAAUCAAUUUAUCCAUGGAAAACUUGCACUAGUUGAUCUUGCUGGCAGUGAACGGGCUUCUGAAACAAACAAUGGAGGCCAACAGCUGCGAGAUGGCGCCAACAUUAACCGUUCACUUCUUGCUUUAGCAAACUGCAUUAAUGCUCUAGGGAAACAACAGAAGGAGGGUCUAGCAUAUGUCCCAUACCGCAAUAGCAAAUUGACACGGAUCCUUAAAGAUGGCCUGAGUGGUAAUUCUCGAACGGUCAUGAUUGCAACAAUAUCACCUGCAGAUAAUCAGUAUCACCACACUGUUAAUACCCUGAAAUAUGCAGAUCGAGCAAAAGAAAUCAAGACACAUAUCCAGAGAAAUGUUGGCACAGUUGAUACUCAUGUUGCGGAUUACCAACGAAUGAUUGAUGGUCUUCAGAUUGAAGUUUGCCAGCUGAGGAAAGAACUGGCAGAAAAGGACUCUCAACUGAGUGUGAAACCUACUGAAAAAGCCGUUGAUGAUGAACUGUCUUGGUUAAAUAUUUUGAGCCAUGAAACCAGUGAAAAUGUCCAGGAACGAAUAAACUUACAAAAAGCUUUGUUUGAGCUUGAGGAAACUAACCUCCGUAACCGCAUAGAGCUCCAACAUCUAGAUGAUGCUAUUGCAAAAGAACAGGCCAUUGAAAAGGAUGGAGAAGUUGUGCUGGCUUUAAGUGAAAGGCGGCAACUUAUACUCAACAACAUCCGUGACAAUAAUGAGAUUGGUUCCGAUUACCAAAAGGAAAUUGAAGAAAAUGAGAAGCGUAGGUGCCAACUUCAAGAUAAUAUAGAAGAAGCCAUUCGUAACAAUAGUAACAAAACUUACUUGCGUAUUCUCAGCCAAUAUCGACUCCUGGGAAUGGCUAAUAUGGAGCUCCAGUUUGAAAUGGCAAUGCGGGAUCAAGUCAUUUACAACCAACGGGAAGCGCAGAGGAACCUGUGGAAUUUGAUCAUGGGGUUAGGACUUGAUCAGAAACAGAUAAUGGAGCUUGCUUCCAAGCAGGGAAUUACAAUUGAGGACUGGACAACACCGCUACAUUUUGAAACAUCUAGCACGAAGCAGUCACUUGCCUCAGCUUAUGGCAGAUCUCCACCUUUCAAGUUUUGUCCUGACAUCCGGCAGUCCUAUUCUUCAAGGGCUUGCAUCUUCCAACAUCGCCAAGACUUCAGUUGUAGGUCAUGUUUCAAGCAGUGGGACUUGGCUCAUACUGUACGUAGAGAAGAGCACCAUAGCUCCUACUACAUGCUUACUCAUGAUCACUCCCAAUCAGCAUAUUUGACGAUGGACAAUAGUAGUGAACAUUGGGUGAGUGGCAGAUCAGGUCCAUGUUCCUGCAGUCCUGAGAAAACUCUUACACGUCGAGUGGAGGCUGCAUCUCAACAUCAUCUUUUCUAGGGAUUUUUGGCCAAGAGCCGGAGCUUAGGGUAAAUGACUCUGACACUGAAUCAAGCAACAUUCUCUUUACCAGGAGGAAGAGGAGUCUGCCAUCCUAGUAUAAUCCAAUUGGAUGCCCUAAGCAGCUGUACAAAAUCGCCAGUUUGAUUUAGCAACAGUCAUGUGCAAAGAAAUUGCCGUGCAACCUAUGAUACCAUGCCUUCAAAGUCACCCAGAUCAUUUUCUGUUGCAACCAUCCUUGAUCCUACAUGACAGCAGGGAGAAGAGCUUUUAGUUCCCGUUUUACCAAAUCCAAGUCACUAGAGUUUGUACAGUUUUUCAUUUCUGUGAACUUUAUUGAUGUUUUUUCAAAUUGUUUCUUUUAUGCUCAUAUAUGACUAGGGGAAAUGCAUCCUCAUGGUAAA